GUGCCAGCAGCCGCGGUAAUACGUGAACCCCGAGCGUUAUCCGGAAUCAUUGGGCGUAAAGGGUCCGUAGGCGGUUAUAUUAGUCGUGUGUCAAAGCACCGGGCUCAACCCGGGACACGCAUACGAAACGGUAUAACUAGAGAGCAACAGAGGUAUACGGAACUCAUGGUGUAGGGGUGAAAUCCGUUGAUAUCAUGAGGAACACCAAAUGCGAAGGCAGUAUACUGGGUUGUUUCUGACGCUGAGGGACGAAACCCUGGGUAGCGAAUGGGAUUAGAUACCCCAGUAGUCCAGGGCCUAAACGAUGCACACUAGCUUUCGGGAGAAUCGACCCUCUCGGAGGCAAAGCUAACGCGUUAAGUGUGCCGCCUGGGGAGUACGGUCGCAAGGCUAAAACUCAAAUAAAUUGACGG
rnacentral:rRNA from 1 species